AAAAAAUACAAGUAGACUCAACGAAUGGUAAUUUAUCAUAUUGUGGAAAAAUGGUGAUCAAAAAUAUUUUGAAAUAUGGUAAAACAGUGCACUGUGAGGUGCAGCCUGUAGUCCACCCGUAGUGGUCGUAUUUAGUGAAUUAAGGUUUUCAAUUUCAUCUAAUUGGUCGUAAAAGUCUGCUUUUUAGCCUCUUUUAACUUUAUAUAUAUUUUUACUUUCUCUGCUAAUCUUCCUCAGUUAUUUGUGACUUCUGAGCAAACAUGCCGAGCGACGUGCUCAUCUGUGCAACACGUGAGCCUCGCGCUUCGAGCCCCUCCAGUGAGCCUACUGAAAAAUGUGUUCAUGACCUCAUCGUUUCUCCAUGCGGGGCGAUGGGUAACGUCACGAUGAAGUGAUUUUCAAAAGUCUCUCUCUCUGGAGACUGCUAGAUUUGCAAUCCUGCGAGUUGAUAUCCAACGGAUUCCGGGUUAUGCGAGUGUAGCAUAUUUGUUGGAGUAGGUGAUGAAACGUGUAAUUUACACUCCUUGUGAAAUGUAACUUCAGGAAUGCUUUCUACGGACACAUUUUUUAUGUGGUUCUUGGCUUCUUCUUGUAGUCUUUGUUUCUACUUGAACCGUGUGACUUUGCGAGCCUCAUUCCAUGUUGGCUGACUCACUUUCGAAUUGGGGAAGAUUUUCAAGUUGUCGUUUAUCCCAAACGCACUGACAGUGGGAGUGUAUGGCACAUCAUAGUUUUAUUUAAGAAAUAUCUUAUGGUAAAACAUGUGCAAUCGACGACUACCUUUUCAUGUUUGAAGAGUUCAAAAUGUUCAAACGUAUUGACUUCAAGUCUGGUUGGCCUUUUGUUUACAAGACGGAACCAUUGGACGCCUUCAACCGAUCGUACUGCAAACAUGAGUUUCUGGCGUUCCUGAAAUUCCAUCAACAGUGAUCUCGUGCGGUUUAAUGUAGCUUUUCCCAAUCACUUCUUUGUUUUUAGCAUUGUAUAAACAUUGAUACAUUGUUUCUUCCAACAUAGUGUGCAAAAUGUCCAAUUCCCCAAUUUGAAUUGAAUAAACAUCCAUCCGCUUUGAGCUCCUCUCUAAUCGCUGCAACCCAGUUAUUGUCAGGAAGCUUUUGCAUGCUUGCUUUGCGUUUUUCUCCCCGCUGUACUGUAAUGUCCCGAACUUGAACGAAGGAACUUUGUAGCUUCGCGUGUGUGUGUGUGUGUGUGUGUGUGUGUGUGUGUGUCAGACAGCCUCUUGUUUGAUGUGCAUCACCUUCUCAUGUGAUUCAUUUCACUCUCGACCUUAUGUUAGUUUUAUAAAUCUGAAUGCUGGCUUCCAGUUAUCUUGUCACUUUCAGGGUCAGGCUGUGUGUUUUUGUUUCUGCCCCCCCCACCCCCCCCGCACACGCACACACAUAAUAGUUUCAAAGGCAUGCUCCAGUUGCUUUUGUUCACAUACCUUAUGAUAGACAUAUAUAUGUCUAUAUAAAAAGUGGGAAGAAAAACAGUUCGUCAGUCAUGGGCGCCAGAAAUUCCAUUGGCCUUCGCAGCGGAAAGUGGCAGCCGCAGCUCCGUUCGAGACCACGGUGGGGGGGGGGGGGGGGCGGCGGGGACCGCAGUCCUUGCAUACUUAGCCCCAAUACCCGCCAGGCCAAAGAGGAUAAACCAUUUCUGCCGUGUGCUGUUUACACGGACGCGAUUGAGUUACGCUAUAAGGCUUUUCAUAAAAGUAGGGGGAGAUCUUAGUUGAGGUUUUGGGAACGUUGCAAUUUGGAGAAAUUAAGUCACAGAUGGAAAUAAAGCAUUUCAUUCAUGUAACGGGCAUGGCCUAGAAAGGGGAGUUCAGAACAUUACAUGAAUGAUCAGUGAUCAAAAGCUGACUAUUAACGUUCAGUCACUCAACACAAGACAGUCUUAUGGUUAGCCGUUUCAAAACCAGCCGCUAACCUGAGCUAUCAAUACCCGACUACACAUUCAUUUGCUGACACGCUCUCAGAGUUCUUAAACUAUUCAAUAGCUGCGGUUAAGCCAGUAAAGACGGUUAGACACACCGCAGUGUGAGAUAACAGACAUAAAAUGGUUAUAGCCACCACCAUCAAAGUUGCAGACACCAAAAUAAUCCAAGUUGGGGAGUUACCGCUCUCCAUUGUUCCCCAGCCAAGUGGACCGCUUAAAGGCAAAUGUGUUUUUGUUAUAUAGGUUAUGUAAAUUGUUGGACAGAGAAUGCUUGCUGCUCUCCAUCCCCAUGCAGUCCACCGAAAGAAAAAUAUGGAUAUAUCGUUGUCAAUUGUACCAGGGCGAGCUGCACAUUUUAAUGGGAAGGUGACUGUAGGCUAGUUGCUGGACACAGAAUGGUUGCGGCGGCCGCCAUCCGGUCUAUAGACGCCAGAAAAUCAAGGUGGAGAUCAGAUGUCAUUUAUUUAACUCUUUUAUAAAAUGUUGUCAAUGACUAGUUAGCCAUAAUUUAGGUUUAGCCUUGCACUCUGCCACAUAAUCUGCAGUAUAAUCUGCCUCUAAGCGAACUGCUCAGACAUGACGCGCAUCAGAUGGCAAGCUGAUUAAUUUAGUGUGAUUAGAGAUCCCUAAAUCCCAGAAUAUGGCUCCGGCACACCUCUAAUGCUUGUUUACAGCGCUGCGCACAAUGAAGAGACACAAACUAGGUCGAUAGUUGGCCUGCACAAAGCAGUUUUCCUUCAGUUUAUCUUGGUGAUGCAUUCCAAGCCUCCCCGCAAUAGGUGAAUUCCCUCGAAGUAGAAGUUGACUUAUUUUUUAAAAACUUGAUUCAAGGGGGGGGGGGGGGAUUUGUGCAUCUAUUAUGAUGACCCACCCCUGCCCGCACAUUCCCACCCUACUAAACACUUGCUACACUUGAUAAAUGUAACUUGUCAACUGCAAAAUGUAGAUAACCGAGCUGCUGGUUAUAGGAGACGAGUGGUCCAAUUUUCAUGAUAUUUCUUCAUUUGAUUCAUCUAUAAAUCAGUUAUUAAAACAUGUUCAGUUGCAGCCCUAAAAUCAUGCUAGUGUUGGGCAUUUAGAUGCCAUGCUGGUACCCCCCUUGCUAUAAAUAUAUACAUUUAAAAAACAGAACUAUCUUGUUAGUUUGAGUUUCAAACAAAAAAAAGUUCACUUUCAGUAUUUGGUCCUUGGGAAUCGAUUACGGUGUCCGGCUGGUAUUUGACUAUCAAUAUUUCAGUAUGAAGCCGGGCGAUGGUCCAGUGGUUAGCACAUCGACCUCAUAGUGGGUUCGAUUCCGUCUCCGGCCUUGCUGUGUGGAGUUAUGAUGUUCUCCACAGGCCUGCGUGGGUUUUCUCCGGGUACUCCCGUUUCUUCACACAUUCCAAAAACUUCCAUGAUUGAACACUCUAAAUUGUCACGGUGUGAGUGUGAGCGCGGAUGGUUGUUCGUCUCUGUGUGCCUUGCGAUUGGCUGGCAACUGGUUCAGGGUGUCCUCCGCCUAAUGCCCAAAGGCAGCUGGGAUAGGCUCCAGCAACCCCCCCGAAAUAAAAGUGGAUUCGGAAAAUGGAUGGAUGGAUAUUUCAGUAUGCAUCAGCCUAACCUUACUACAUGGAAUGGAACUCAACUUCCCAAAUCUCACCUCUUCUUGUUGUUCUUUUCUUGAAGUGGACAGAGGUCAUCUAAAAAAGUGGAUGCAAUCAUGUUUAAAAAAAAAGUGGCCAUAGAUGAUGUUAAAAAAAGUGGACUACUAUCACAUAAAAGUGGAUGUUAGGCAGAUUACAUAGAAAGUGGAAGUAGCUCAUGAUAAAGCAGCUGUUGAUCAUUGUACAAGAGUUGGACAUACUGUAUAUAAUAUAAAAAAGGGGAUGGGUCUUGUAAAGUGGAUGUAGAUCAUGUAAAAAGUUGAAAGGGUUAAAAAAAUGUGAAUUUCCCUGUAGAGUAAACAAGUGCACAGGUGUGAAGACGGACGGGACAGCCACUUACAUAAGUCAUAAAGUUGACUUCAGUGAAUACCCUUGUCGAGUCAUGUGAGCCAGGUGGUGACUCACCGCAUGCGCCCAAAAACCAGGCGGCAAGAUACCAAAACCAGCUGUUUGUCUUUACACGCUUCAAGGAAAAAGAGUAAAAAAUAAAGCAUUUGUUUCUUCCUAAGAAAAAUUGGGUUGUUCCACUCCCUGUGAGGAGUGGAGCAGAUUGCUUGAUGAGAUCUGUCACGUUGAAACUUUAUCUAGGUAAUUGAUCCUUCCGAGUUUGCUUGGUCACGGGGUUUUUUUUGGUCUGCUGUAGUCUUCCAUUGCCCAAAAGGAAAUGGGGGCAGGGGGGUGGACAAUGACUCAACGUGACCGGAUUCCUCCUGCUUGUUGUGAUGACUUGGCAACGCACAGGCCAUUUCCACACUUGCACUGGUAUUUUUAGAGCUCUUGAUUUAAAAAAAAAAAAAAAAUGUACGUCCAUUCGGGGUGUAAUGACACAUAUAUUUGUAUCUGGAUUUUUCAACACUAAGUUGCCAACAUAUUGGGCAAGGGACGGGUAGCAAGCCCUGCACUUUAUUCAUCCGCCUCUUUGGUACACAAACACAGUGCAGCUUGGCCUAUGCAUAGUUUUGUAAAGUCUUCACCCAUUAAUUGUUUCGUACACACCCAUUAUUUGGACUCGAUUGCCAAUUUAUUUUCAUUUUCACCUCAUUUGAAAACCUCGUCCCUGCAGUUGUGCAAUUGUCCUCCCCAUUAUGCACAGAUUAAGCAAUCAUUUGCUCACCUCCCAUUUUGACUGCUCUAAAUGACAUUAUGCCUCCAUUGACCUUAUGUUCUCUCAUUGGGCUGCUUGUUUCCUCCUCACUGAACCUGUUCUUGCUGUGACUAACCCAAUCUCAUUUAAUCAUGCCGCUCACAGUCUGUGAUGCAUGCGAGUUUACACUCGCCACAAUAAAGUAUCAAUGUUUGCAUAAUGCCAUAUUAGCACUUUUCUUUGGCUGGUUUGUGCAGCAUACAAGAGGAAGUGUGUGCUUGGCCUUUCCCGCUUGCAUUCAAUCAUGGGGUUAGUGUUUUGUUUGGAAGGGAAAAGGAUCAGCACCAACGUAUAUUUGCUCAAUUAGCGGUGCGAGUUGUCAGUGUCAGAAUGCAUUGCGCAAGGAAUCCAUUUAUAUAUGCUACAAAGCACAAUACAUUAGUACCUAACUUUAGCAUCAUUUUGGAGAGAUGGCAAGAAGUGUGGCAGAAUGGGCGCAGUUAAUAGCUUCCCGAAGAAUACAAGGAUAUCACUCCCUUGCGACACUUUUAUUUUUGAAGCUGUUCUCAACAGCGCGUGGUGCUGUGGCGGAUAUCUUGACUCAUCUUGCUGACUUGAUAUUGGAGCCUGUUAUAUUACCACCAAUAUCAACACAUCAUCAUCCUGAAAUCAUAUUCAAUCGCUAAUCAAGAAUUAUUUGCAUAUGCGAAUUGCACUUUGAUACAAUGCAGUUCGUUCAUCUUGACGGCUGCGAUUUGAUUGGUCAUUGGGAGCAGAUGGGAAGGCUUCAGAACUGACAGACAGCAAUACUAAUUCAAGCCUGCCACACUUGGUGUGUGUUGCGAGAUCUUUAGGACAAGUCUUUGCUUUAUGGCAGUGGUCCCCAAACUUUUUCCUGUGAGGGCCACAUAACUUUUCGCUUCUCCGAUGGGGGGGACGGGGUCAGUUUGUAACAGCAAAAGUGUGACUGCAAGGGUACCUGGACGUAAAAAUGUAUUGUUUCCCAGAAACCCACACAAAAUCAAAUACCGGUAACUUUUUUUUGAUACACUUGCGGUAUUAAAGACGUCUUUCUUCUCGGGACACACCACCUCCGCGACAGCAUUCAUGCAUUUCUUGACAAACUCUCCUUACCGCUGCUUGCUAUCAGCUGAGCAAACCAAAAGCUAGCCCGAACAGAUGGCUGGUUCAGCUGAGCUUGGCGUACAAAUGUAUUUUGCUGAGCUAACGUUCCUCUUUUUAGCAUCUGCUCUCAUUUACCCAUGCAAAAAAUCUUACUUGUUGUUGUGACGGGAUUCAUAGUGUCUCCGCAGAUUGUAUUCUAUGAAUACCCCCACCGACAGAUGAGACAGACAAUCUUUUCUUUGCAUUGAAAAAAAAAAUUGUUUCUCCAUUUUGGGUUAAAUUCCCUGUAUUCUGAAUAUUUUUUUUCUCUUACCUCACCUUUUCGCCAUGAUUACGUUCUCUUUGAGAGGGAUGGGCUCAGGAUUUUUUUUUCUGUGGUUGCCAGUUAACGGCAGAGACCGCCGAAGGAUGGAACAAAUGUCACGUUAUGCGUUUACGAAAUUGUUACUAGCUAAUAGUUAAUCGUGAAAAUAGUUCAUAACUAAGAAAUAUUUUAUUGCAAAAGCCAAAUGUUAUGAUAAAAUACAAAUAUACAUAGAUGAAAAAUAAAUCAAAAGACUCUCUGGUAUUGUGUGUGUCAGUGUGUGAUUUGUAUUUUGUGUUGUUCCGGCUGCCGUCAUAUGUCUGAGCACUUGGCAGCUUACUGCCAGACUUACUGCCGGCAAUGCGAACCAAACUUUGACAUCGGUGGUAUAGUGACCGAACAGCCCGUAUCAGGGGGUUCGGUACCCCAUACCCACGAAGCACCCACCACAGAACUCCCCGAGGGACACGGUCAAACGCCUUCUCCAAGUCCACAAAACACAUGUAGACUGGUUGGGCGAAUUCCCACAUACCCUCAAGGACCCUGCUAAGGGUGUAGAGCUGGUCCACUGUUCCACGGCCGGGACGAAAACCACACUGCUCCUCCUCAAUCUGAGGCUCGACUUCCUGACGGACCCUCCUCUCCAGCACCCCUGAAUAGACCUUACCAGGGAGGCUGAGGAGUGUGAUCCCUCUGUAGUUGGAACACACCCUCCGGUCCCCCUUUUUAAAAAGAGGGACUACCACCCCGGUCUGCCAAUCCAGAGGCACUCUCCCUGUUGACCACGCGAUGUUGCAGAGGCGUGUCAACCAGGACAGCCCCACAACAUCCAGAGCCUUGAGGAACUCCGGGCGGAUCUCAUCCACCCCCGGGGCCUUGCCACCGAGGAGCUUUUUAACCACAUCGGUGACUUCAACCACAGAGAUAGAAGAGCCCACCUCAGGGUCCUCAGACUCUGCUUCCUCCAAAGAAGACGUGUUGGUGGACCAGAAUUUUCCUCGAAGCCGUCCGGAAGUCGGCUUCCAUGGCCUCACCGAACUCUUCCCACGCUCGGGUUUUUGCCUUGCAAACAUAUGUUUCGCUUUAUUUCUGCAUUAUGACUGCAAUUUAGUUAUUCAAAAUAUCUAUUCAACACAAUGUGAUUUGUAUUGACAACAUGAAGAUAUUUAGGGAAAUGAAUGAAAUUAAUUAAAUUCUGAAGGUUUACUGGAGGUCAAAAUGUGUUGUGAUGAACCAGAGCAAUAAACAGUUUAUUGGAAUCAGCCAUCUGUAUUUACUUUCAUCUUGAACGCUACGAGGUCAGAGCUGGCACAAUUUGAAGUGGAAUCGAUCAGACUUUCUUCAAAGGUAGCAAUAGAGCCACAACGGCAGUUUACCUGGGAUUUACGUCUUUUUCAGAUUUUUGCGUACACAUACAGACACGAUAGCAUGCAGCAUGCGCUAUUUGCCCAGCCUAAACGCAUCGUCCAGUCAAAUGAUUUGAAAUGUCACCGUUGAUCAACCCAUUCCAUGAAUGAAACUGAGGAGAUACAAAGUAUUCCUCCUCACUUAAUCCAUGAGGUGCCGCCGCUGUUUGUCCUCACUAGCGCUUAACUGUUUUUGAAAUGACGAUGUUCCAUCAUAUAAGGAGCUCGAAUCUUGUCUUUCCUGCACUUAAGCAUGUGAUGUUACUGACUUGAGAUCGGUAACCUUUUUAUAGAUUUUUAUACAUGUAUUACAUUUAUCAAUAUACUGUAGAUGAUAAGUUCAGUGUUUUAAGAAGUGCAGUCCAUAUGUUUAGAUAAUCAUGUUGCAUGCAACAUGAAGUUGAAUACAGUAAAUAUUCCCAUCCCCGGAAUUCUAUGGAAAGGAAUAUCCUUCACCCGGAAUAAAAUCCUAUGCAUUAACAUUUUGACUACGAUAUUACAUGUUACUGGAACUUGCGUAAGCGGAAAUUCCACUUCCCAUAAUUAACCCGGAUGGAGGUGUAAUGCCGUGGGAGCUUAAAUACACGCAACGCCCACCCGAUGCGACGGAAAAGGCACAACGCUAAAUAAUUUUACUUCGCAUUUUUCGAUCAUCAGAUUUUAAACGAGACGUGUAAGUGAGUUUUUAUUGCCGUGCGUUUUACUGUAAUUGUGAAUGAUUUUAACUUUAUUCACUUACGUCCUGGAGAACGCGGCACGAGCUUAAAAGCAGCACCCACUCGACAUGACCGAAGAAACGUGUUCGCUUCGCCGUUUUCAUUCGUCAAAUUCGAAACGAAGAAGUAUCAUCCCAUCGAAACGUAGAAGAACUGUAACGACUGGAGCGGAGCGAGUGAAAUGCAUCCGUUUGAGCGAGGCUGGACACAAAGUUAAAAAGAUCCAGCAGACACUUGGAGUUGGAAAGACGCAAAUCUACGACACUUUAAAAAACAAGGCAUUGAUUCAACUCCUGAUGACAAGCCACCAUCCAGCAAAGAAGCAAUGUAAAUGGCAACAAAACACAUUUUUUUCCCCCCCCAAGACAGAAAAAAAUAAACAUUAAAAUACUGCACGUAUUUUACUGUUGUGAUUUUUUUGGGAUACACCUGUAUUGCCGUUUUUGUUAUAUAAACAGUUUUUGGACAGUAUAUUUUUUGUAUUUUAUCGAUUGUGUUGUUACACGUGCAUUUUGUCAACAUACUUGCAGGUUCAUAAAGGACAUGUACCAUGCUCAUUUCCCAAAUGAGGAGUUUCUGUUAUCAGGACAAAUUAGACAGCGCAAACACGAGUCUGUACUAGAGAAUAUUUACUGUAUGUUAAAGUGGUAAGGCCGCAGAUUUGUUUGCAUGUUAUCUUUCUAAUUUACCAUGUGGUAUACGUUUCCAUCACAUUUGUGUGGCAGAAUGAUGUGGUCGUGGUGAACACUUAGAAGGCUGUACGUCAAAGCAUUUAGUUCGUUUACAUCAGGAAUUGCAGUAGAUAUUGCAGAAAUAAACUUGAUAUUGAUGAGUUAACUGUUUGUAUGAUAAAAAUACAUUAGAAAAGGACCUUGUAAAAGUAAUUGUAUCUCAAAACCCAAUUGCAAAUUUGAGGAGAAAAAAAUUCCAAUCAGACUUUUUCCAGCUAAAUGAAAAAGAGUAAUUAUGCAGACAUUGCCAUAUGGCGCCUGCUGACAGUGUUAGCGUUUAGUGGCUUGCACCUAGCCACUUCGCAAAUGCCCUGUGUAGGCUGGUAAUAGCCGUCAGACUACUUUUCAAAGGGAAAAAUAACUGCACAGUUGCUGAUAAAUUCUUUAAACAAACUUACGGUAGCUUCCUCAAACAUGCUAUUUCAGCCCUCAAAAUUGCUACUGUGGUUUAUGCAUCACGUUUUCUCAAAGCCCCAAAUCUCAACAUUUUUUUAAACUUGUUACAAAGACAAAAAAAGGCUGAAUUGGAGAAAUGUGUAAAGUCGUCAAAAAAUGGCGGAAAUGGACUGGACAAAUACCUAAGGUGUGCUCCACAAACAUGGACACGGACAAUAUUGCACAGCACCCCUCAGGUUGGAGUUUAAUGUGCGAUGGAGUUGAAAACAAAAUGAAAAAUGACUCUACAGUCAGUUUAUAGAGAAUCUGCAAGAAAUGAGAGAAAAUGGAACAAACAAAUCCGGUGAAGAACAUCACUAAUGAACUUGACAUUAUGAAGUGCCUGCACGUUGGAGUUGAAUGAAGUGGGAGUCUCAAAGAAAAUAAACUUGUGGAAUACAUACACCAUUUUGGAACAGCUUCUGGAAUUUAUUUUCAAAGUAUCGUUUAAAAUUAAACAAAAACAACGACAGACACAUUUGGAGAAAAGGCAAGCAGACAAGAGACACUUUGUAUGCAGAUCUUGCUGUUUUGGUUGUCAACCGAGUUCAGAUGUAACCGUCAUGGGUGAACAGUGUGUGUUUAUAAACGGAGGUGUUAAUAUAUUUGAGGUUAUACGGUCUUUGGUGUUGGUUGGAAUGCGUUUUGGCAGCGUGACUCAACGGCCAUCCGAAAUGUGAUCAAAAUUGGCGGGAAAGAUGAGUCUAAUCCACCAGCCUGUGCGAUGCGCACCCGGACACAAUGAGACCCCUGUUGCGGCCAGCUUCUGCUUGUCAAAAGCACUUAAAUUCUCGCCAAUUACACGGCAGCCAUGCCAGCAAGAAUGGCAUUUACUUUGAAAAUGCAUCCUCUGCGGUAAAUAUGCUUAAAUAAAACCUCAAGUUGAAAUUGCUGUAUGGGAUUAGCCCUUGGGUAAAGCCUGUUCUUUAUAGGAGUAGCAGCAGUUAGGGCUGACUGAUUCGUUUUAUUAUGUCAAGUUCCUUGCUCAGGGCGAUUUUGUUGUGUUGUACAUCGCAAAUACUAGUUGGAAGAUAAGAUUUAUCUUGUUUUGACUCAUGUCAUCUCGGCAUCUUCUUUUCCGAUCACCCAGCCCUAAGAUGCACACAGAGUACGUAUUCAAAACUGUCGCAUUCAAUUUGGGAAGGAACAAAGUUGCCAUAUGAAGUCCAGCUAAUUGACCGCAAUGGCCCCACCAUCCCCUUGCAAUCCUUUUGUGUUACAUCCUGAGGAUGUAGCCUCAAACCCCUCGUCCGUCUUCGGCCCAGGCAUUCUUGUUUUCCCGAGCUGGGACGGGAAGGCCCCACCGAGCGGGAUGUAUGCAACUCUGUAAACAGGAAACACGCCGAGAAACGGCAGAAGCCCCAAUGCGAGGAAAUGACAAGGAAUUUAGCACCUUGUUUAAAGACAAGAAACUGCAAUUCCUGCAGAAACCGAAUGCUCGGGGAUGGUCAUCGCUCGGCAAAGGUUUAAAUAUGCCCCCGUGUGGCAAUAAGCCAUAAAUUGAAUAAUAACCAGAGUCACAAACCCCUUUGACGACGACUAUCUAACUAUACGCAUAAUAAUUUAGUUAAACAAUUAGCUUUUUUUCGAAGUACAUAAAAAAAUAAUCUUGGUAAAUGUGAGGUUAAAUGUUGGUUUGGCCCUCUGCCAAGCGUCAGUUUUUCACGUGGUCUUUUUGCAAAAUGACUUGCCCACCCUUGCGCUCAACGAUUACGCGAUUGUUAACAUUGUUGAUUACGCAAUUGUUAAAAUUGUUGUUGAUUAAAUUUGACACCUCUACUUUGGAACAACCGUAAAACCUCAGCGUGCAAGGUACGAUAUGUGGUGUGGUGGGUUGAAGCCGAGCAGCAAAUUUUCCGUCUGCUGGCGUGCUAUCGAGGCAUUUAUCGUGAAGGUGCGACCAGUUUUCAGUUGAUAACCUGACACUCAUUUUGCCAUGCCCCCUUUCUGUUGAUAGCAGUAGCUCACUUCAAUCCGAAGAAAUGUUUUUGUGAAACAAGACAUUCAACAAACAGAGGAGUCCAGUAGUAAAUGGAGUAAAUGCUAGUUAGUCAUAUAAAAUGGGACGUGUGAACGCUAUCGGGGUAGACUCGCUACGUAUGAGAAGAGUUGAUUACAUACGGGUAUUGUAUAACUUGCAUCCUGAGUAUUUUGCACUUUCUCUCUCUCAUCCUUUUACGGUGUCUGGUAGACCACAGCGUUGAUUUUGUCUGGAGAAGUAUAAACCAUGGUUUUUCGAUAUGUCACAAACAAGGCGGGGAAAAGGAAGUACACUUUACGAAUGCACAUGUUUUAUGUGUUUAUCGUAUUGCAAAGCCGCAGAAAUUGCCGUGUGAACGCGAGUGGGGCUGCACCGGGGUUAAAACGCUUUUCUUUAGUAAGCAGCUUUAUAUGUGUGAACGCUAACCAAAAUUUACACCGGUGUAAGAUGUAUUGCAACAAAAUACAUCUGAGCAACACCGAUGCGAAUGUGUGCCGUGUGAACACCCCUUUGGAUGACUGAAAAUUUACACAGAGGGGGAAAAAAUCUCAUUUCAAUAAGCACGUUCUUUUUUUAAUUGACAUAGGCAACUACCCCGUUACACUUAUGAUAUACAUUUUGUAUGACAUGUAAAUACUCCAAUUAAAAAAAAAAUAGAAGUAGGUCUGUUUGACAUUUUUUGUUUAUCCCAUCUACGUAUACUGCAAAUUCUGUCUUUUACAGUGAGUUUGUCAGGCCAUAGCUUCCAUUGAGAAGUGGCUGUGUUAUUAGUUCACUUUUUUAUUUGUGGCAGAAUCACAUCAGUGUGAAUGCUUGACACCAUGAAACAAUCAUUUCAACUUGUUUUGCCAGGGUGUCCACCCAGGGCACGUUGGUAUAAAAUGUAAAAACCAUCAGCAUAGGUGCCAUGUGAGUGCGCAUUACAAUUUGUAAUAAAUUAGUCAUGAAGUAGCAAGUGAACAACACCUCACACAGGCAGAUGUUUAAAGUUAGCGAUUAGAUUUACAAGCCUAUUUUAUUUAUUUCAUACACCCAUUGUUCAAAACAAAUCUUUACGAGGUAGAAAACGACCCAUAUGUCAGUCGUUUUUUUUGGGGAGGGGGGGUUAAUGAAUAAGUGUGAAUCCACUUAUGUAAAUGUACCAACAAAUGGAAUGUGGCUAGCCGGAGUGAAAGCAGCUUGUUGCCUAGCAACCUCCAGGAUUUGCUUUGUAAUGAUAGAAUUAAUUAUUACUGGAGAGACCGCAGCCGAGGCGGCAUAGAUUUAAAAAGAUAGACGGCAGAAUACGAUGAAUAUUCCACACAGGCUUAGGCAAACGACAAGGGCAAAUCAGGAUUGGCGAUCUGGUGUUGCUGUAUCCAUCUCGCACCACAAGAGCCAACGACCCAUGAGCGCUAACGGCACUCUCUUAACAUUAUCACUAUCUGAUGUCAUCAUUGUGAUAUUGUAGGAUGAGCGCUAAUGAUGCGGUAGUUCUUUUCUGUAAUUUGCAGAUGUAUAUAUCUUUAUUGUACAAAUCUUUUGUUUUUAAUCAUAGAAAUUAUAUAUGACGUUAUCAUUGCCCCCAUUUUGGGUAGAUAUACUCAAAGCUUAUUAACCACGGCAGCUGACAAUACAGUGUUAAGCUACUGCAUACCAUGUGGUAAUGACAAUAUCAAUAUUGAUAUCUGUAGCCGUAUCAAUACUUAACCAUGAGAACUUAUGUCCAGUGUUCCACUGCAUAUUCACAAUUCUCCUCUGGCAAAAUUGCCUUUGCCAUUAUUUGACCUUCAACAUAAUCUGUUAUUUUCUCAAAUUCUACUAUUGCUUGAGCGCACACACACACACAAAAAUAAAACUCUGACAUUAUUGACAUAAUAUUUCCACUUUAUUCUCAUGUUCAUAUUUUUUUAAUGGAUACAACUUCAAAAAAGAACGAUAAAUUCCUCAAAUGUUGGUCAGGGCUGGUUUAAGGUCAAAUGGAGCUGGCACACAGUACACAAAGCUUAUUAGUCUCCUUAUUGACAGUAAGCGCUUAAGUCCCCACUCGACGGGUUGAGCUCUCACUGCUCCUGCCCAAAUCUUGAAUUACACAUGCACCUGUUCAUCGAGACAACUAGCAGCUGUUGUAAUAACACGACAGCUAGCGUAAUAACUUAGCUGCCUCUAACACAAUUUAGAAGGCACUGGAACGGUGCCGUUGAUUAUUUCCCAAUGAAGAGAAGAAGCAGGUCAGCUUUGCGCUGGCCUGGUACAGGAAUCAUGGAGGCAUGUGAAUGAGCUUAACGGUAGCAGCACCUCUAUGGGCUGCUCGUGAAAAACCAUCCGCACCCUUGGGAUGUGGCUAAUAGCUAAUAGCUAAAUCCUGUUACACAAACCCCUGCGACUGAGCGUUUUCAUUCGGUGACGUGACAUCCCUGUGAAGCCUUCACCCAUCCGCCUUUUUGAGAAAACAGCAGGGUUUUUCCAGUUCAAAUUGAGGCAGAGGUGGUUCCGUUCUGAUCAUUUGCAUGCCAACUUCUACGGUCUAGCACUGAUGUAGACUCCACAAAACCAAAGUGUCGUGCCUUAAACCCAGCACUCAGACCACAGCCUCAUUCACCGCCGACCGCUGGACCCCAGACCCCAACUCUGGUUUCUGCACAGACCGCAUGUGCUGAACAUGGCUACAGCUAAUAGUCUAUAAUCAACCUAUGAUGGAAGGAAAAAUGCCAUUGAAGACUUUUCAGGGCAUUUAACCCAACCAAGAAAAAAUGUAUAGGAACGUUCUUACUGGAGUUGCUUAGUUUUGGUUUCUUACAAAGCUGACCAAAUUCACUGUGUCGACUGCAAAGCAAAGCUUCAUGUGAGAGCUGCUAAUAGACAGCCACAACUGGUCGUGCUACUCAACACACAGAUUGGCUCACCUGCCAUCAGCCAUCUAGCGUAAGAGCAUUCAUUGUUCUCCUUGUCAGCAUACGUUGGUGGCAUAGAUAAGACGGACCAAAAUACAUUAUUUGUGGUUAAAAAUGUUUUCUGACCAAUUAAGUCAAAUUGGAUGAUUGCACUCACCACAGCACAGUGCUUAGGAAUAUUUGCUCUUCGUGAAGCAUAACAAUACAUAUAGAGCAUCUUUCUCAAACUCGCGGUCCAGGUGUGGAUGAUAUGUUGCGGUCCCGUACUUGACCAAAGUUAUUUUUUUUUCCUUUUGUCAUGGGUGUUUUUUUUUUCCUUUUCUUUUUAAUCACUCAUAGGCUACCACAGCUUAGGCUCAUGAGAGCUUUUGGCGAAACAAUUCUGUAGUGACAUAAAGUGGAAGGAAAAUAUACCCUUUCAGUCAGGUUCUUUCACGGAAAAACAGGCAAACCAUUUUGUGUGCGUGUGUGCGUGUGUGCGUGUGCGCGCGUGCGCGUGCGCGUGUGCGUUGAGAUACUCCGACAUGGCUUGAAAGCACAGAAAAAGUUACCGUGCUCAAGAAUUACUCAAGCAGACAUGCUGAGGAGUAUACAAAAUACCAGGGAGAUGAGAGAGAGCAGUGGGUCACCACUCUUGUUCAUGUUCUGAAGAACCAUUACUAUUCUGAACUGUUAUUCAGUUUUUUUCAAUAGUCGAACCCCUUUUUUGUACAAAAAUUGAUGCGGCCCACAUCCAUCCAAACACUUAUCAUUAGUAUAGAGACCCCUGAUCUAGAGGACAAAAGGUGUCGUGUUUUAAAUUUUAGCAUGUUGGAUGUGGCUUCAGUAUUGAGCACAAAGGGGAUCGCUCAGCCACCCGUCAUCAACUGAACGUAGUGGUCGUUGCAGGAGAACAAAGCGGACCGUCCGGCCUGAUGAGACUCGCUCCAUCUGGUUCAAACAAAAGGCUCAUUGAGGAGCUGCGCCGUCGUCCCAAAAGUUACACAGUGACCUUUGAUGAUCAAUUCAUAGCAAAAAUAGCUCGGAAUAAAGAGGAGGUGCGGGGGCUGAGGGAUAAAACAGGACUGGGAUGUGCUUUCAUCUUGGGCCAAAAUACGCAGAAACCACUCUUCUUCUCACCAAUUAGUGCAACUCUUUUGGAGGCCAGAGUCGAAUAAAAAGCCUGUCGCACCACAAUGGAAGCAAAUUCCUCGAGCUGUCCCAAGUCUUUUCGGAAUUGAUUAUCCUACUGAUCCUAUCAUUGAUUACGUGGGGAAUCAUCCCUCGCAUACACCAACAAGACUGGCUCAUGUUGUUAACAAUAUGACGUUAUGUCUCGCAAGGAUGAUGCAUAACAUUUUAUCGUAUCACUUUUUUUACCAUCAUGUCUGUCGUCAUUUGUCAUCGGCAGUAAACUGUAUGUAAUUAAUACAUCAAGUACAGCUUGAUUUGCAUAGGCGUUCACUUGUCAACUUUAUGCCACUUCGGUUGCAGCAGGCGUCAGACGAGGGAAGUGAAUCACAAUACAUUUUCACCGUACACAACAAACGUACGAUGCAAAAUUAAAUCUAAGAGUCAAUAAAAAUGAAUAAAUGAUGAGGUGGGCGAAUGCAAAUAACAAAUACUACUGCCCUAAGAAAGUAAUUAACAACAAACCUGCAAUUAUAAACUAUUUACACAAAAAAAAAUCCUCGAAAGGAUGUUUGGUAUGCCUUCAAACUAAACAGGAGUAGCAAUUUUUAUUCUGAAGUUCAUCAAAACACAAAGAAUAGCAAAAAGCUCCGAUGGGCUGUGUAUGUCACUUGAAGCCGACGAGAUGUCGCAGCAGCUCCCGAUAGCAAGUGGAGCAACGGGUUUGACUGGAUACUACUGCCUGACCAAGACGUUGUUUCGCUGCUAACUCAGCAGUCACAACCUCCAUCAAUUUGCCUCCAUCGCGGCGAACAAGAGACAUUUUUACAAGUAUCAUUCUCAUGAAGGGAUUAUGAGGACUCAUGAACACGAAAGCCAUGUUGAAUGCUAAGCUAACGUAAUGUCAUCGUGAAAGACCAGAGAUAGAAGUGCUUGGAUGAGUGAGUACAUCUGACAGAGGUUUUUAGCUGGAACCAUGUUAAAAGUGUUGCGUGUUCAUCUUUGACCAGAAAAAUCACAGGCAAUAAGUGUCUGCAAAGAAAAUUGAUGCUAAAUAAUGCUACGCACACAGAUUUCAAUUGCCAUUUAUUCCCAAACAUUAUUUAUGGUUGAUAUCUACAUUUGUGCAAAAAUAUCUAGCUCAUUUUUCUUCAGUUUACAUAAUUUGUAUACCAUCACUACUGGAUGCAUUAAUCAUUUAAUACAGAUCCGUUUGAUGUAGCGUCAAAAUAAAGUGAGAAAUCAUCAGUGCUGUAUACUUUUUUUAAAAAUAGAAUAACUGAAAAUAAAGAGUUAAUGUGAAGUGAAACGGCCAAUAUCAUAAUGAAAAAUGAUUUCCAAAUCGCCCAGCACCAUCUACAACUACCGUAGAGUGUGAUCUAACUAGCAAUGGGAUAAAUUACAUUAUCUAAGAAGUAAAAGCACAAAACGUCCUACCUUUUAAUAGAAUCCAUUGAUUGCUAUUCUUAUUGCCAUCAAACUGGGACGUGCCUCCAAGCCAUCCGCAGCAACAAAUGUCUGUGUAGCGGAACAUUGGUUCCGGGUAUUGCAAUAAUCAUACAUUUUGGUUUGAUGACAUACAUUUUUGCGACAACCGAAUUUUGUGGAUAUUAUGACUUCUUACAACAUGACAACUAAGACAAUUUAACAGGACGGUUUUCCAGUACUGGUAUGAUUUCAUUUUUGUAAUAUUACAGCGCUAACUCGUUGUACAGUACAACAUUAUUCUCCUUGCAUUAUAACUAUUGUUCCAGUGUUAGAACUUUAUUCUUUUAAUAUUACAACUAUUCUCCUAACCUGAUGUUUUAUUUGAAAUGUUAUAGCUUGAUUCUCUCAAUGUGUUUUUCUUGCUUUAUUCCUGAAACAAGGUUUUGUUUUCCUCUUACGCCGGUUAUUGUCAUCAUAUUUAACUUUUGGCAGCCCCAAAUCUUCCUUUUUAAAUUGGUUUGUAAACAGAAGGUCGAAAAUAUUGGUUGUUCAAGGUUAAUCCCAGUGAAUGUUUUUGACGCACGGGGAAAAAUGUACUGUUUGGAAACAAUCAUGCGCUGACGUACAGUAGAUACACCCUUUAUCCACAACUGACUUGCAAACCACACCACAUGUCCUUAAACACCGCAGAUAUUGUCACGUCGUGACCUUGCCACCGCCUGCCUCGCCUCCACCUGCUCUAAUGGAUAAAAAUACCCGACACCAUCUUGUCAAUAGACUCAAGGUCAGCUGCUAACAGGGGAAUGCACAAACAAAGACACUCACUCAUACACACAGAACGGGCUGGAGGUAUAUGACAUUUGGAAUAAAGUGCUGUCGGUGCACUCUGCGCGCUGAGCUGACAAUACAAUCUACUGCCAUAUAUUGUCAUUAGCAGAUGACCUUCAGACCCUCAACGCUGGCCGUCUGGCAGCCCACCGGUCCGUUUACCUCAUUAAGAUGGCUCCAGCGGAGGCCGUUAAAAGCUGUUAAUUGCAUUGGUAUCGACGAGAUGUGACCAGAAAAUGCAUUUCAGAAACAUGCGCUUUUUGCCUUGCAGCGGGAUGUAUAACUUAAUAAAAUAAGAAAAUCCCAUCAUUCUCUGCUGGUAGGUUGUCUCCAUUUGCAUCACAGUCCUGUGACUUUUUUUUUUUCGUUGGAACUUUACAUUCUGAAACAUUUACCCUGAGAAAAAUCACAUGACGCAAUAUAGUGUUUGGAUUGGAUUGGAUUGGAUAACACUUUAUUGUCAAAUUAUUGUUUGCCUGCGGGGAAUAGGGACAGUCCCGCUGUAAAUUGCGACAAUUUUAAAUGGACACCCCAAACAGAUUUAUAAUUGCCUAUAAAUGUCACGAGAUGGCAGCAACAUAUGACAUGAAGCAGCUCACUUCAAACAAAGUUCAUUGGAACCAAAAUAGUGGCGUGAGCUCCUCAUCUGACUUCAAGACACCAUCUUUUUAUUUUUUUUUAAUUUUUUUUUGGGAGGUCCGGGACAAUAUCGCAGGGAAAUCAGGAAGUAGUGAAUUGUGAAUAAGCGAGGGAAUGCUGUUCGUACCACAAUUAAUGAUCUUAAUUUAUUCAAAGAUUGACAGACUCGUUGAGAAAUCUGUUCCUAUUUAGUUGAACACAAAGAUAUCAUUAUGUUGUAUGAACAGCAACAGGUGGAUCCUCAGGUUAAUUUUACUUUCUGCCAUCGAGGGAAAAACAUUGAAUUGAUCAGAGUGCUUUACCUUGCUGGUCUCGGUAGAUGAACGAACACUACAUUAUAUGAAGAAACUGAAUUAAGAAUUAUUAAUUUUCGGACCCUUAAGUGUGCAGUAAUUGAAUAUUUUCCCACAGAGCAACCUGAUGAUCUCAAACGAAUAUGGCACCGUGGUUUGGAGUCGCUGAUCUAUUAAAAGAAUGAAGUUUAAUUUUAAAAUUGGAUCAAGCUUGGUUUCAUCGACGGGAAUAUAAGUUUUAAUUUUAUGUUUGGAGGCAAAAUCACAUGUAAAAAAGUGUAGAUGUUUUUUUUUUUUUUUGUCCAAAAUACUAAAAAUGAUUUGCACCCAAAUACGCUGACUCCAUUUGAAUCCACCUAUCUCAGCAGCAAGGCAAGACUCUCCAUUUGUGUGACAUGACUUGCUGACAUAUCUUUUUACGAGUCGCUGAGGUGGUCCUGCGCGUGGUUGUGUGGGUUGCACUCCUCAAAGCACCCCCAUUGGACACUUUAAGAUGUUAUCUGGCCCACUGUCAUGUGAGGAAUGUGAGCCUCAACACCCAAAAUGGCCUCUCUCCGCUGUCCCUCGUAACAGGAUCCUACCAACAAUACCGCAGCAACUCUGAACAGGGGAGGCUUUCAAAGCAACCAGGGAGGAGGUCAACACUACAAAGGAAUGUCUCUCUUGUUCAUUUGAGGGCAGCUGAUUGUCCCCCCCCCCCCCCCCCCACACACAUUGCCUUUGCUAAGGACAGGUCACAUUAUGUUAUUGGCAGGACUUUGUCAGAUUGUUAGUUAGUGUGCACCAUCCUGACGACAAGCAACACCGUGACAAAUGGCCGCUGUCUUUGUGAAAUGUCCUAAAAACAUUGAAUAAGUACUUCAAAUGGCUCUGAAUGAUAUACAGUACAUAAAAAGAAUACAUUCCCAAAAACCUGCUGAAGGAUUAGGGGUAAAAAUGAUGGGGUACAUGGCCCGUUCUAAUGCAUAGACAACUCUUCUCACCAAUAAUCUUCCAUUGGCACUACUUAAAUCCUGUUUCAAAGGCAGGUGUCAGCGGUAAUUUUAACCUGUUGACAUCUGAGUUUUGCCUAAUGAGCAAUUGGUGGACAUUUUUCACUCAAACUAGUCAAACAAACAAUCGAAGACGAAGGAAAGAGUAGGUUGAGAAGAACAUGAAGAAAUAAUAAAGUUAAACUGUUUUCCUCAAAGGCGAAUGUGUUUAUUGGGCAGAGUUUCGAUCAUCGUUGUCACACAAAAACAUUCCCCAAAAUUUCCUGACACAAAAAACUCAAAUUUCUCUGGAACCCUAUGACCGAUUUUCCAAUUUCUUGAUGCAUUGUGCUCGGGUUGUGGCCAUUCCAGCAAGACUCAGCAUUUUAAAAGUCAUUCAUUUUUUGGGAAAUCUUGUUACCUUGGUACUAGGGCUGCCACGAUUAGUUCAUUUGUCGUGACGAUGUCGAUGACCAAAAUCAUGAACAGUUGAUUGUCGAUGAGAUGUUGUAUUUCUGUAUUUAUUCAAUUGCCAAUUAUUUUCUUGCGAAACUGCCUCGUCUCCUGCUUUUCCUGCUGGCUGUAUCCAUGCGUAUUUGUGGUAAUCCGUGGUCAUUUGUGAUGCAAAUGGGAGCAUUGUGGGUACUGUGGGCACAUUGUCUCACAGUUGUCACUGGGUGGUACCACCGCACUACGGUUCACUUACAUUACAAAAUGUCCUUGCAUACCUAUUUGUCAUGUCCUCGUUUACGAUGAUACUAAUGCAGCGUGUUAUACCGGAGACAAAUUCCUUGUGUGUUCUACAUACUUGGCCAAUAAAGAUGAUUCUGAUUCUGA